rnacentral:rRNA from 1 species
GACGAACGCUGGCGGCGUGCUUAACACAUGCAAGUCGAACGGAAAGGUCCUGCUUUUGUGGGGUGCUCGAGUGGCGAACGGGUGAGUAACACGUGAGUAACCUGCCCUUGACUUUGGGAUAACUUCAGGAAACUGGGGCUAAUACCGGAUAGGAGCUCCUGCUGCAUGGUGGGGGUUGGAAAGUUUCGGCGGUUGGGGAUGGACUCGCGGCUUAUCAGCUUGUUGGGGGGGUAGUGGCUUACCAAGGCUUUGGCGGGUAGCCGGCCUGGGAGGGUGACCGGCCACAGUGGGACUGAGAUACGGCCAAGACUCCUACGGGAAGCAGAAGUGGGGAAGAGUGCACAAUGGGAGGAAGCGUGAUGCAGCAACGCCGCGUGCGGGAUGACGGCCUUCGGGUUAGAAACCGCUUUCGCCUGUGACGAAGCGGGAGUGACGGUAAUGGGUAAAGAAGCACCGGCUAACUACGUG